GAUGGCCUACCAAGGCGACGACGGGUAGCCGGCCUGAGAGGGUGAUCGGCCACAUUGGGACUGAGAUACGGCCCAGACUCCUACGGGAGGCAGCAGUGGGGAAUAUUGCACAAUGGGCGGAAGCCUGAUGCAGCGACGCCGCGUGAGGGAUGAAGGCCUUCGGGUUGUAAACCUCUUUCAGCAGGGACGAAGCGCAAGUGACGGUAUGUACAGAAGAAGCACCGGCCAACUACGUGCCAGCAGCCGCGGUAAUACGUAGGGUGCGAGCGUUGUCCGGAAUUACUGGGCGUAAAGAGCUCGUAGGUGGUUUGUCGCGUUGUUCGUGAAAACCUGAGGCUUAACCUCGGGCGUGCGGGCGAUACGGGCAGACUGGAGUACUGCAGGGGAGACUGGAAUUCCUGGUGUAGCGGUGGAAUGCGCAGAUAUCAGGAGGAACACCGGUGGCGAAGGCGGGUCUCUGGGCAGUAACUGACGCUGAGGAGCGAAAGCGUGGGGAGCGAACAGGAUUAGAUACCCUGGUAGUCCACGCCGUAAACGGUGGGUACUAGGUG
rnacentral:rRNA from 1 species